rnacentral:rRNA from 3 species
GCUUGACCUCAAAUCAGGUAGGAUUACC